CAUAAAUUAUUUUGUUAGAAGGAAUGGAAACAGAGUUCUAAUUAAAUACUACCUCUGGAUUUUAGUGCCUAAGUACAAUCAAGAUCUUCCUUUUCACAAAUUGUCUUUCUUCUUUACUACAUAUUCUUUCAAGGAGUUGGAGGUAAUAAACAUGAAAGAGACAACGGCCAGGGCCAAGUUAUUUGAGCUGAGAUCCUUUGAUGCUGCUUGGUAUUAAAGAGAUUAUCAUGGAUAUAUUAUCACGUCGUAACCAUGUGGGUAAGUCUAUUUCACAUUCCGUUGAAGACUUAUAGCACA